AUUUUGGGAGUCAAUGUCCCAGAGUAAUGUUCCUGAGUUUUUUUUUUUAGGUUGAUGAAAUAAUAACAACAAAGCUUUACAAAAACAUGAUCCUAAACAAAAUAGAAAAACGAAUAAAUUUGGCUGUAAUGAGAGUACUUGUGGUCUGACAUAUUAUUAUUUCAGUGUGCCUAUUUAUCUAGCUUGUUUGCAGUUGCAUCUUUUCUGCUGUUUGCCACUAGAUUAAAAGGUUAAAAGUCUUUUGUAGCAAAGUAAAACACGCAUUCAAGACUUUUUAAUGGGACUAUGCUAAUGAUCUUGUCAAGCACAGGGUGGCCCUGGAAAAACAUUGGUUUGUAAAAAAUCCCAUAGGAAUUGUGUUUUGAAGUCUUCCUGCUGGCAGAAGAUCUUUUAAAAUGUGCAAUCUUUAACAUUAACACAACAGGUUAAAAAUAGAUAAAAGCAGCCAUGAUGCUGUUGCCAGUUCUGGAUGCACAGGGAAACAGAGCAAGGCCCUUAUUGUGGAAGCUUUGGUAUUCAGAUGGAGAAUCACAAGAUGUUGCUACUAUUACUGGCAGCAGCUCAUUAAGCCACUGCAUUUUAAGCAUGAAGCCCUCAAAUCUUUCGAAGACAGACAUGCCUCCACAAGCAAGGUGAGGUUGGAUUAGAACAUCUCUGGCAUUGUGUAGUCAGAACACCAGAAAGAAACUGGGGAGAUUUAUUUAAUUUGUUCACAAACAUGCUUUAAAACAAAGAAGAUUGAAUGGGUACUGUAACAAUGUGUUAACUGUUGUCACAGUACACUAGUUUGGCAGAAAGUAAGUAAACGACACAGUUGUCUGUGGGGAAUCUAUGAUGCUCAACCCAGGUGGCCACACAGCACAUGUUCUCUCUUUCCUGGGCUAAUGUUUUAUUAGAAAAGCUGUGGGAGCUCUGUCAGUGUUCCAAUGGUCAACAUUAGUGAUGAGUAGCAAAUGUUGAAGUGUGAGAUACAUACACUGUAGGGUGCUUUCACUGUACAGGGUCUUUGAAGUGCUUAAGUGACAAAAAAAGAAAAAAAGAAAAAAAAGUACUGUAAAGGAUUCAGUAAUAGAAAAGUGCAUAUUUAUGAUCAGAAUUUGGAGAGUAUUGCUAUAGUGUGAUCAUAUUGCUGACUGAAUAUGUAACAUACUACAGUAUGCCUAGGUAAAUUACACACUGAAAAAAAAAAUACUUUACAGGGGUCAUAUGAUGCGAUUUCAAGUUUCCCUUUCUCUUUGGAGCAUUACAAGCUGUUUGUGAAUAGAUAGGAUCCCUAAAGUUGCAAAGACUAAAGUCUCAAACUCAAAGAGAUAUUCUUUAUAAAAUUUAAGACUGGUCCACGCUCCCAUAAAACACCUCGUUUAAAGAUGCCCCCACAUGUCUAUGUCAUGAUUGUGGGAAGAUUUGCAUAACACCGCCCAAAUGUUCACGCAAAGAAAGAAGUUGUAACAUUUUAUUCUCGCUGUCGGCACCAUGUCGUGGAGACGCUGUGUUUCGUUGUGAAAGCAAAAAUACUUUGUUUGGCCUUCCAAAAGAGGACACAAAUAGAAAUCAGUUGUUAAGUUGUAUUUACAACACUGUUUCAGAACAGCUCAACCCAAAUAUUCAGAUGUGUGCAGUGCAUUUUAUGGAGGACUGUUUCCUGAUCCUGGGAAAGAAGACUACAAUGCCGCCUGUUUUGACUCACAGUCUCUAAGUAGGUUUACAUAUUUAAAAGAUUUGCCAUUUAUGAUUCACACACAAGUUUUGAGAAGUGUAGAGUAGUGCUUGUUGUUUGUCAUUUCUUCGAUCACAAAUGCAGACAUGGUUUUAUGUUUACACAGCACAAUGCAACGCAAUGCAUAAAAAGACAGUAUAAGUCAUUAUAAUCCGUAAUUAUGUCCCCACUGGAUGCAACAAAUGGUUUGUUUGUAAUGGUUUUUAUUGAUUUUGUCUUGUCGCGCCAGGGACACAGCAUCACAGUAUGGUAAGGGGCGUAACACUUCCAUCACACGCUUGAGGUAUUUGGCCAAUCACAACGCACUGGAUAGCUGGCCGAUGAGAGCACACCUCGCUUUUCAGACCGACGAGCUUUGUAAAAAACGAUAAUAAUGCAAAGUAUUUGGAAAAUAAUGUGUUUUUUAACCUUAAACUGCAUAAACACAUUUCAAUUCACCAAAUACACAAAUUAAUGUUAAUUUUAGCAACAUCAUAUGACCCCUUUUAAAAAUCUUCAUAACAAUUUGAUUUUAAGUACUUUUUUAAGAUUUUAAGUACUUUUUUUAAGUAAAUUAUACAUAAUUACAUAUAAUUUCACUUUAGAAUUAAGUCAAAUCUACUUACCUAAGCUAAAUAAAUUUAACAGAGAAAAUAAGUAACUUUAGCUUGGCCAAUAAAC
rnacentral:lncRNA from 1 species